rnacentral:rRNA from 1 species
UACGUAGGGUGCAGGCGUUAAUCGGAAUUACUGGGCGUAAAGCGUGCGCAGGCGGUCUUUUAAGUCAGAUGUGAAAUCCCCGGGCUCAACCUGGGAACUGCGUUUGAUACGGAUGGGCUAGAGUUCGGGAGAGGAGAGUGGAAUUCCCGAGUGUAGAGGUGAAAUUGAUAGAUAUUGGGAAGAAACACCGGUGGCGAAGGCGGCUCUCUGGACCGAGACUGACGCUGAGGCGGCGAAAAGCGUGGGGAGCAACAGG